AUUGAACGCUGGCGGCAGGCCUAACACAUGCAAGUCGAACGGUAGCACAGAGAGCUUGCUCUCGGGUGACGAGUGGCGGACGGGUGAGUAAUGUCCGGGAAACUGCCCGAUGGAGGGGGAUAACUACUGGAAACGGUAGCUAAUACCGCAUAACGUCGCAAGACCAAAGUGGGGGACCUUCGGGCCUCACACCAUCGGAUGUGCCCAGAUGGGAUUAGCUAGUAGGUGGGGUAAUGGCUCACCUAGGCGACGAUCCCUAGCUGGUCUGAGAGGAUGACCAGACACACUGGAACUGAGACACGGUCCAGACUCCUACGGGAGGCAGCAGUGGGGAAUAUUGCACAAUGGGCGCAAGCCUGAUGCAGCCAUGCCGCGUGUAUGAAGAAGGCCUUCGGGUUGUAAAGUACUUUCAGCGGGGAGGAAGGCGGUGAAGUUAAUAACUUCACCGAUUGACGUUACCCGCAGAAGAAGCACCGGCUAACUCCGUGCCAGCCGCCGCCGUAA
rnacentral:rRNA from 1 species